UGGGGAAUAUUGCACAAUGGGCGAAAGCCUGAUGCAGCAACGCCGCGUGAGUGAUGAAGGUCUUCGGAUUGUAAAGCUCUGUCUUUUGGGACGAUAAUGACGGUACCAAAGGAGGAAGCCACGGCUAACUACGUGCCAGCAGCCGCGGUAAUACGUAGGUGGCGAGCGUUGUCCGGAUUUACUGGGCGUAAAGGGUGCGUAGGCGGAUGUUUAAGUGAGAUGUGAAAUACCCGGGCUUAACUUGGGUGCUGCAUUUCAAACUGGAUAUCUAGAGUGCAGGAGAGGAGAAUGGAAUUCCUAGUGUAGCGGUGAAAUGCGUAGAGAUUAGGAAGAACACCAGUGGCGAAGGCGAUUCUCUGGACUGUAACUGACGCUGAGGCACGAAAGGCGUGGGUAGCAAACAGGAUUAGAUACCCUGGUAGUCCACGCCGUAAACGAUGAGUACUAGGUGUAGGAGGUAUCGACCCCUUCUGUGCCGCAGUAAACACAUUAAGUACUCCGCCUGGGAAGUACGAUCGCAAGAUUAAAACUCUAAAGUGAAUUGACGGGGUC
rnacentral:rRNA from 1 species